rnacentral:rRNA from 1 species
AUUGAACGCUGGCGGCAGGCCUCACACAUGCAAGUCGAGCGAGCGGCGGACGGGUGAGUAAUGUAUGGGGACUGCCCGAUAGAGGGGGAUAACUACUGGAAAAGGUGGCUAAUACCGCAUCCUAUCGGCUAACCCAUAUGGGAUUAGCUAGUAGGUAAGGUAAUGGCUUACCUAGGCGCCGAUCCCUAGCUGGUCUGAGAGGAUGAUCAGCCACACUGGGACGGAGACACGGCCCAGAGUCCUACGGAGGCAGCAGUGGGGAAUAUUGCACAAUGGGCGAAAGCCUGAUGCAGGGACGCCGCGUGGGGGAUGAAGGCUUUCGGUUUGGAAACCUCUUUCGCUAUCGAACGGGUAGGUGGAGAAGAAGCGCCGGCUAACUACGUGCCAGCAGCCGCGGUAAUAC